rnacentral:lncRNA from 1 species
UGGGUUCGAUCACUUCUUUUAAAUGAGGGGAAAAGAGAAUAGAAUAGAAGAAUAAGAAAAAAAAGAGAGAAAUGCACAGUGGUUGUCACGGUGGGAGAGGCGGCGCUUGGGGUGGUGAUCGGAGAGAACAAGAGAGGAAAGAUGCAGCAAAGCAAUGACUCAAUGGUGAGGUGGUGGAGGUGCAAGGCUAGUUAUGGCUUAAAAGAAGAGAAAAAAAUAAAAAGGAGAAUAAAUGUUAACCAAAAAUAUAGAAAAAAUGAAAAAGGGAGAGAUUGGGGCGGAGCUAAUGGUGGGACGAUUAUGAGAGGGAGUGUAUGCCAAAUUGGGUGAGAAGGAUAGUGGUCAACCAUGACUAGGUUCAUUGAAUAUCACACAAG